rnacentral:rRNA from 1 species
UACGUAGGUGGCAAGCGUUGUCCGGAUUUAUUGGGUUUAAAGGGUGCGUAGGCGGUCUUAUAAGUCAGUGGUGAAAUACAGCAGCUCAACUGUCGAGGUGCCAUUGAUACUGUAGGACUUGAGUACAGACGAGGUAGGCGGAAUUGACGGUGUAGCGGUGAAAUGCUUAGAUAUCGUCAAGAACACCGAUAGCGAAGGCAGCUUACUAGGCUGUAACUGACGCUGAGGCACGAAAGUGUGGGGAUCAAACAGG